AUUGAACGCUGGCGGCAGGCCUAACACAUGCAAGUCGAGCGGGGUUUUCGGACCUAGCGGCGGACGGGUGAGUAAUGCGUAGGAAGCUGCCCGAUAGAGGGGGAUACCAGUUGGAAAUGACUGUUAAUACCGCAUAAUGUCUACGGACCAAAGUGUGGGACCUUCGGGCCACAUGCUAUCGGAUGCGCCUACGUGGGAUU
rnacentral:rRNA from 1 species